UACGUAGGGUGCAAGCGUUGUCCGGAAUUAUUGGGCGUAAAGAGCUCGUAGGCGGUUUGUCGCGUCUGCUGUGAAAACUCGGGGCUUAACCCCGGGCCUGCAGUGGGUACGGGCAGACUAGAGUGCGGUAGGGGAGACUGGAAUUCCUGGUGUAGCGGUGAAAUGCGCAGAUAUCAGGAGGAACACCGGUGGCGAAGGCGGUUCUCUGGGCAUUACCUGACGCUGAGGAGCGAAAGCGUGGGGAGCAAACGGG
rnacentral:rRNA from 1 species